rnacentral:rRNA from 1 species
GACGAACGCUGGCGGCGUGCUUAACACAUGCAAGUCGAACGGAAAGGCCCUGCUUUUGUGGGGUGCUCGAGUGGCGAACGGGUGAGUAACACGUGAGUAACCUGCCCUUGACUUUGGGAUAACUUCAGGAAACUGGGGCUAAUACCGGAUAGGAGCUCCUGCUGCAUGGUGGGGGUUGGAAAGUUUCGGCUGUUGGGGAUGGACUCGCGGCUUAUCAGCUUGUUGGGGGGGUAGUGGCUUACCAAGGCUUUGACGGGUGGGCGGCCUGAGAGGGGGACCGGCGACAAUGGGACUGAGAUACGGCGCAGACUGCUACGGGAGGCAGCGGGGGAGAAUAUGACGCAGUGGGGGGAAGCCUGAGACAGAGACGCCGCGUGCGGGAUAACGGCCUUCGGGUGAUGAACCGCUUUCGCCUGAGACGAAGCGUGAGUGACGGUAAUGGAUAAAGAAGCACCGGCUAACUACGUG